UGGGGAAUAUUGCACAAUGGGCGCAAGCCUGAUGCAGCCAUGCCGCGUGUAUGAAGAAGGCCUUCGGGUUGUAAAGUACUUUCAGCGGGGAGGAAGGGAGUAAAGUUAAUACCUUUGCUCAUUGACGUUACCCGCAGAAGAAGCACCGGCUAACUCCGUGCCAGCAGCCGCGGUAAUACGGAGGGUGCAAGCGUUAAUCGGAAUUACUGGGCGUAAAGCGCACGCAGGCGGUUUGUUAAGUCAGAUGUGAAAUCCCCGGGCUCAACCUGGGAACUGCAUCUGAUACUGGCAAGCUUGAGUCUCGUAGAGGGGGGUGGAAUUCCAGGUGUAGCGGUGAAAUGCUUAGAGAUCUGGAGGAAUACCGGUGGCGAAGGCGGCCCCCUGGACAAAUACUGACGCUCAGGUGCGAAAGCGUGGGGAGCAAACAGG
rnacentral:rRNA from 1 species